GUGUGUGUGUGUCUGGUGUGUGUGUGUGUGUGUGUGUUCUUCUGUUGGAGGUGUUCUAGAAACAGCAGCUCGGACUGUCAGAGCGGUCUGAUUGGUGAGGGGGGGGGGGGGGAAAACUUAGCUGUUAUUGGCAGAGAGAUUUCAAACCUCUCUUAUUGGUCUAUUAACCUAAUUAUGAUGUCACAAGGCAGGCCAAAAAAACUCCGCCCCAACCAAAAAACAGGAUUGAAAUUUCAGAGGGGUCUUUUCAAAUAACUCUUCCCACUAAAAUGACAUUAUCAAUUUCACAGUAUUAUUCCAACCUCAUAGCGUGGAAAUAUAUCAAUCACAGGAACGUUUUUUCACUGCCCUGGGCCUUUAAAAGAAGUUUAAUAAAAAAGUGACGAAUGUAAUAUUGUGUGGUAAAAAAAAAAAUGUUCUGUUGAAUUCUGUGUAAUUAUGAAUUUUGAUUUAAAAGAGAUGUUUUGAUUUGUAAAAUUCAUUUGAUCUGAAUUGAGAUGGAGAAAUAAAAAAAUAAAACGUUGAUUACCCCUAAAAAAAAUACUGAAAGGUUGAAUAAAAUGACAGAUAAAACUCGGUUCUGUUAUACUGCAGGUCUUUAUGUUCAGAUAAAAGGGGAGGUUUCCUUUAUGUUCAGAUAAAAGGGGAGGUUUCCUUUAUGUUCAGAUAAAAGGGGAGGUUUCCUUUAUGUUCAGAUAAAAGGGGAGGUUUCCUUUAUGUUCAGAUAAAAGGGGAGGUUUCCUUUAUGUUCAGAUAAAAGGGGAGGUUUCCUUUAUGUUCAGAUAAAAGGGGAGGUUUUCCUUUAUGUUCAGAUAAAAGGGGAGGUUUCAGUAUGCAGAUCAGGGACGAUAUACAGGACCAGUCAAAAUGUUGGACAACACCAACUCAAUCCAGGGUUUUUAUUUUAAUUGUAUUUUUCUACAUUGUAGAAUAAUAGUGACGACAUCAAAACUAUGAAAACAACCCCUAUUAAUAUAGAAUGUUCUCUGGGUUUAAUAGACAUAUUAAAAGAUUAGUCAUAUAACUUUUUUUAAAAUUAUUAUAAUUAU
rnacentral:lncRNA from 1 species